rfam:Daphnia pulex DAPPTscaffold_267_Cont8046, whole genome shotgun sequence.
GGCCUGUUAGCUCAGUUGGUUAGAGCGCCGUGCUAAUAACGAGGAGGUCAUGAGUUCGAUCCUCUUACGGGCCA